UGCCAGCCGCCGCGGUAACACGGGGGGCGCAAGCGUUAUUCGGAAUUAUUGGGCGUAAAGGGCGCGCAGGCGGUCUUGUCCGUCAGGUGUGAAAGCUCGGGGCUCAACCCCGGAAGUGCACUUGAAACAGCAAGACUUGAAUACGGUAGAGGAGAGAGGAAUUCCUGGUGUAGAGGUGAAAUUCGUAGAUAUCAGGAGGAACACCGGUGGCGAAAGCGACUCUCUGGCCUAUUACUGACGCUGAGGUGCGAAAGCUAGGGGAGCGAACGGGAUUAGAUA
rnacentral:rRNA from 1 species